rnacentral:rRNA from 1 species
UUUCUUGGUCAUUAGAGGAAGUAAAAGUCGUAACGAAGGUUUCCGUAGGUGAACCUGCGGAAGGAUCAUUAUCAAAAGUCAAGUCGGGGGCUGUAAAGCUCUCGUCUACACCCAUGUCUUUUGCGUACUCUUGUUUCCUCGGUGGCGCAAGCUGCCGAUUGGACAAACCAAAACCUUUUUUGUAAUUGCAAUCAGCGUCUGAAAAUAAUCUAAUUAUUUACAACUUUCAACAACGGAUCUCUUGGUUCUGGCAUCGAUGAAGAACGCAGCGAAAUGCGAUAAGUAGUGUGAAUUGCAGAAUUCAGUGAAUCAUCGAAUCUUUGAACGCACAUUGCGCCCCUUGGUAUUCCAUGGGGCAUGCCUGUUCGAGCGUCAUUUGUACCCUCAAGCUUUGCUUGGUGUUGGGCGUCUUGUCGUAUUACGACCCGCCUUAAAUUCAUUGGCAGCCGGCACUUUGGCCUAGGAGCGCAGCACAUUUUGCGAUCGUAGCCCGUUGUACUGGCGUCCAUCAAGAACAUUUACCACGUUUGACCUCGGAUCAGGUAGGGAUACCCGCUGAACUUAAGCAUAUCAAUAAGCGGAGGAAA